CCGAAAUUGGACCUAACCGACCGAAUCAUAUAUUAUAUAUAUUUAUAUAAAUCAUUUUAAUCUUGACCGUCAAUCCAUUUGGUGUUUUAAUCUUGACCGUCCACUCCUAAACCCUACCCUAUCUGUCUUUUACUCUCCCCACUCCUCCAGACACGCAGCCAUUCCCUAUUUCCAUUUUCCCCUCAGUUCUCGCCUAGUCUCCCUUCUCUCUGUUACUCCACGAAUCCUCCACGAUCUGCACCGCCGUCCUCCACCAGCGCCGUCCUCACCUCCGUCGCCCCCACCACGUACGCCGCCGCCUUGUCCACCCUCCCUGAUUAUCAACAUCGGCACCGCAAUCGAUCCCCAAUCCGCCACCACAUCGAGAGGCUAGCGUGAGGAAGGGGGGAAAUCGCUAUCAGAAUCGACAAUGCCGGCGAAAUGUCUGACCAUGAGCAUGAGUUGUCUUGGAAUCAAGUGACAAGGACUAAGGGGUUGGUGCUUGGAUUGAAGAGUUCUAUCAUGGGGCUGUGGAACAACUUUUUGCAAGGGUUGAAGGCUUUAAGUAGCUAUAUGGAAGGGUGACAAUCUCAGCAUUUUGGAAAUUCUCUGGACUUUUUUUUUUCUCCUGAACUGUUUAUCUGGGCAUUUGGAAUUUUGGAUGACUGUAUUAUCUGUUUUACUAAGGGGGGGCAGUUGGUAUUAACUGUUUUAUUGAGGACUAUUUUAGGUUUAACUGGUACUAAGUUGUUGCUUCUGGUUGAAGGCUUUAAGCUACUGUAUGGACUAUUUGGGAACUCUUUGAACUUUGUUUUUUCUUUUCUUUCCUGAUCUGUUAGUAGGUGGACUAUUUGAUUGGGAAAAUUUUCAUUCUCAUGUAUGUGAAUAGGUAAAAUGUUAGUAUGUGGUUCUGUGAAUAUGUGGUUCAGUUAGUAGGUGGCUCUAUUUUUUUUUUCCCUUUACAAAUUUGUAAAACGUUGGAGGGUUUCUUUUUUCCACUGUAAAUUUUCUCUUAUGUAAACUGUUUGAUUUGGAAAAAAUUGCCCAUAUAAAAAAGGCCCAAAACUAGGUGAAAAAAUUGCCCAAAAGUAGCUCAAAUAAAAUUGGUGAAAAUAGCCUAAAAUGACCCAAAUGAGGGUGGAAAAAGGCCAAACAGUCAUUAGAAACUUAGGUUUUUUAAAUGGGUCCAAAUGGCCCAUUAGGCCCAUUCGGGGUGGACCGAAGUCCCCGACUGCCCCGAACUCACCCCGAACCGAACCGAACCGAAAUUAAAACGGUCGGGAUCGGUCUCCGGAUGAUG